UCCCCUGUAGCUCAAUUGGUAGAGCAAGAUCCUGUUAAGAUCGAGGUUACUGGUCCGAGUCCAGUCGGGGGAG
rnacentral:tRNA from 1 species